CAUUAAAGAGUUCUAUAACUCCCAAACCCAUGUGAACAUACCUAACGUUGCCUCGGCAGGUCGCACCUACCUUGUAGCACCCUACCCUGUAGGGCCUACCCGGGAGAUGCGGGUAAGCCUGCCGGCGGCCCACCAAACUCUGUUUGAUAUUGAAUUCUGAACAUAUAACUAAAUAAGUUAAAACUUUCAACAACGGAUCUCUUGGUUCUGGCAUCGAUGAAGAACGCAGCGAAAUGCGAUAAGUAAUGUGAAUUGCAGAAUUCAGUGAAUCAUCGAAUCUUUGAACGCAUAUUGCGCCCAUUAGUAUUCUAGUGGGCAGGACCGUUCGAGCGUCAUUUCGACCCUUAAGCCUUAGUUGCUUAGUGUUGGGAGCCUACGGCAACGUAGCUCCUCAAAGUUAGUGGCGGAGUUGGUUCACACUCUAGACGUAGUAAUAUUUUAUCUCGCCUAUCAGUUGGACUGAUCCCCUGCCGUAAAACCCCCAACUUAUCAAGGUUGACCUCGAAUCGGUUCAGACAAACUCGCUAAAUUGAAGCAUCUUAGUCAGCGAAGGAAAAGAAACCAACAGGGAUUGCCCUAGUAACGGCGAGUGAAGCGGCAACAGCUCAAAUUUGAAAUCUGGCCCUCGGGUCCGAGUUGUAAUUUGUAGAGGAUGCUUUUGGCGCGGUGCCUUCCGAGUUCCCUGGAACGGGACGCCUUAGAGGGUGAGAGCCCCGUACGGUUGGACACCAAGCCUCUGUAAAGCUCCUUCGACGAGUCGAGUAGCUUGGGAAUGCUGCUCUAAAUGGGAGGUAAAUUUCUUCUAAAGCUAAAUAUUGGC
rnacentral:rRNA from 1 species